rnacentral:rRNA from 1 species
GCUCAACCGAAGAAGUGCAUCGGAAACUGGGAAACUUGAGUGCAGAAGAGGACAGUGGAACUCCAUGUGUAGCGGUGAAAUGCGUAGAUAUAUGGAAGAACACCAGUGGCGAAGGCGGCUGUCUGGUCUGUAACUGACGCUGAGGCUCGAAAGUAUGGGUAGCAAACAGGAUUAGAUACCCUGGUAGUCCAUACCGUAAACGAUGAAUGCUAAGUGUUGGAGGGUUUCCGCCCUUCAGUGCUGCAGCUAACGCAUUAAGCAUUCCGCCUGGGGAGUACGGCCGCAAGGCUGAAACUCAAAGGAAUUGACGGGGGCCCGCACAAGCGGUGGAGCAUGUGGUUUAAUUCGAAGCUACGCGAAGAACCUUACCAGGUCUUGACAUACUAUGCAAAUCUAAGAGAUUAGACGUUCCCUUCGGGGACAUGGAUACAGGUGGUGCAUGGUUGUCGACAGCUCGUGUCGUGAGAUGUUGGGUUAAGUCCCGCAACGAGCGCAACCCUUAUUAUCAGUUGCCAGCAUUAAGUUGGGCACUCUGGUGAGACUGCCGGUGACAAACCGGAGGAAGGUGGGGAUGACGUCAAAUCAUCAUGCCCCUUAUGACCUGGGCUACACACGUGCUACAAUGGAUGGUACAACG